rnacentral:rRNA from 1 species
UACGAAGGGGGCUAGCGUUGUUCGGAUUUACUGGGCGUAAAGCGCACGUAGGCGGAUCGUUAAGUCGGGGGUGAAAUCCUGGAGCUCAACUCCAGAACUGCCUUCGAUACUGCGGGUCUCGAGUCCGGGAGAGGUGAGUGGAAUUCCUAGUGUAGAGGUGAAAUUCGUAGAUAUUAGGAAGAACACCAGUGGCGAAGGCGGAUCUCUGGGCCUUACCUGACGCUCAGGCGCGAAAGCUAGGGGAGCGAACAGG